GAUGGACAACUGGUUGAUAUUCCAGUACCACCAUAAUGCGUUUGACAAAUGGGAUGACGCAGGAGGAUAGGAUGUGCGCACUAUUGGAUGUGCGUCUAAGCACUUAGGGUGUUAAGUAGGCAAAUCCGCUUAACAUUAAGCCUGAGGUGUGAUGGGGAGCCUAUUUUGGCGAAGUAUCUGAUUCCACGCUGCCAAGAAAAGUCUCUAUGGAGCAAAAUGGUGCCCGUACCGCAAACCGACACAGGUAGAUGAGGAGAGAAUCCUAAGGUCGUCGGAAGAAUUAUUGCUAAGGAACUCGGCAAAUUGACCCCGUAACUUAGGGAGAAGGGGUGCCUACGAGAGUAGGCCGCAGUGAAUAGGCUCAAGCAACUGUUUAUCAAAAACACAGGUCUCUGCUAAAGCGUAAGCUGAUGUAUAGGGGCUGACGCCUGCCCGGUGCUGGAAGGUUAAGGGGAAUAGUUAGCGCAAGCGAAGCUAUGAACUUAAGCCCCAGUAAACGGCGGCCGUAACUAUAACGGUCCUAAGGUAGCGAAAUUCCUUGUCGGGUAAGUUCCGACCCGCACGAAUGGCGUAAUGAUUUGAGCACUGUCUCGGCAAUAAAUCCGGUGAAAUUGUAGUGCAAGUGAAGAUGCUUGCUACCCGCGGUUGGACGGAAAGACCCCGUAGAGCUUUACUGUAGCUUAGCAUUGAAUUUCGGUAUUGUCUGUACAGGAUAGGUGGGAGACUUAGAAGCGAGGGCGUCAGCUUUCGUGGAGUCGUCCUUGGGAUACCACCCUGACAGUACUGGAAUUCUAACUGGAGGCCAUGAAUCUGGUCACAGGACAUUGCUAGGUGGGCAGUUUGACUGGGGCGGUCGCCUCCUAAAAGG
rnacentral:rRNA from 1 species